CAGCAGCAGCCGCGGGAAUACAGAGGGUGCGAGCGUUAAUCGGAUUUACUGGGCGUAAAGCGUGCGUAGGCGGCUUUUUAAGUCGGAUGUGAAAUCCCUGAGCUUAACUUAGGAAUUGCAUUCGAUACUGGGAAGCUAGAGUAUGGGAGAGGAUGGUAGAAUUCCAGGUGUAGCGGUGAAAUGCGUAGAGAUCUGGAGGAAUACCGAUGGCGAAGGCAGCCAUCUGGCCUAAUACUGACGCUGAGGUACGAAAGCAUGGGGAGCAAACAGGAUUAGAGACCCCAGUAGUCCCUGUCUCUUAUAC
rnacentral:rRNA from 1 species